rnacentral:rRNA from 1 species
AAGGAAAAGAAACUAACAGGGAUUCCCCGAGUAGGUGAGACUGAAACGGGAUGAGCCCAGCGCAUAAGCACGUGUCCAAACCCACAUUGGCACGGGCGAUGUUGCGUUUCAGAGCGCCUGGCACAGGACUCGCCUAAGCCUAAGUGUACACAAUUUGGAAUAUGCCACAUGCUCCCAAGGAGGGUGACAGGCCCGUACGGCGUAAGGAAUCUUGCUGGAAAGGCAGUUCCUGUCGGCAGUCCUGGAAAGGGUGUCUCUGUAGAGUCGGGUUGCUUGAAACAGCAGCCUAAAGAAGGUGGUAAACUCCUUUAAAGCUAA